rnacentral:rRNA from 1 species
UACGUAGGUGACCAGCGUUGUCCGGAUUUACUGGGCGUAAAGAGCGCGCAGGCGGUCGUUCAAGUCGAGUGUGAAAGCCCCCGGCUCAACUGGGGAGGGUCACUUGAUACUGAUCGACUCGAAGGCAGGAGAGGGAAGCGGAAUUCCCGGUGUAGUGGUGAAAUGCGUAGAUAUCGGGAGGAACACCAGUGGCGAAGGCGGCUUCCUGGCCUGUUCUUGACGCUGAGGCGCGAAAGCUAGGGAGCAAACGGG